AUUGAACGCUGGCGGCAGGCCUAACACAUGCAAGUCGAACGAGUGGCGGACGGGUGAGUUAUGUCUGGGAAACUGCCUGAUGGAGGGGGAAAAACUCUAGACACUGUAGCUAAUACCGCAUCCCACGAGUUGCGCCCAUGUUGGAUUAGCUUGUUGGUGGGGUAACGGCUCACAAAGGCGACGAUCCCUAGCUGGUCUGAGAGGAUGACCAGACACACGGGAACUGAGACACGGUCCAGACGCCUACGGGAGGCAGCAGUGGGGAAUAUUGCACAAUGGGCGCAAGCCUGAUGCAGCCAUGCCGCGUGUGUGAAGAAGGCCUUCGGGUUGUAAAGUACUUUCAGCGGGGAGGCGUUACCCGCAGAAGAAGCACCGGCUAACUCCGUGCCAGCAGCCGCGGUAAUAC
rnacentral:rRNA from 1 species